rnacentral:rRNA from 1 species
GCGGCGAGUGAAGCGGCAAAAGCUCAAAUUUGAAAUCUGGCUCUUUCAGAGUCCGAGUUGUAAUUUGAAGAAGGUAUCUUUGGGUCUGGCUCUUGUCUAUGUUUCUUGGAACAGAACGUCACAGAGGGUGAGAAUCCCGUGCGAUGAGAUGAUCCAGGCCUAUGUAAAGUUCCUUCGAAGAGUCGAGUUGUUUGGGAAUGCAGCUCUAAGUGGGUGGUAAAUUCCAUCUAAAGCUAAAUAUUGGCGAGAGACCGAUAGCGAACAAGUACAGUGAUGGAAAGAUGAAAAGAACUUUGAAAAGAGAGUGAAAAAGUACGUGAAAUUGUUGAAAGGGAAGGGCUUGAGAUCAGACUUGGUAUUUUGUAUGUUACUUCUUCGGGGGUGGCCUCUACAGUUUAUCGGGCCAGCAUCAGUUUGGGCGGUAGGAGAAUUGCGUUGGAAUGUGGCACGGCUUCGGUUGUGUGUUAUAGCCUUCGUCGAUACUGCCAGCCUAGACUGAGGACUGCGGUUUAUACCUAGGAUGUUGGCAUAAUGAUCUUAAGUCGCCCGUCUUG